UACGAAGGGGGCUAGCGUUGUUCGGAUUUACUGGGCGUAAAGCGCGCGUAGGCGGGUCGUUAAGUCAGGGGUGAAAUCCCGGAGCUCAACUCCGGAACUGCCUUUGAUACUGGCGACCUUGAGGCUGGAAGAGGUUAGUGGAAUUCCCAGUGUAGAGGUGAAAUUCGUAGAUAUUGGGAAGAACACCAGUGGCGAAGGCGGCUAACUGGUCCAGAUCUGACGCUGAGGUGCGAAAGCGUGGGGAGCAAACAGG
rnacentral:rRNA from 1 species